rnacentral:tRNA from 1 species
GGCGGGGUAGCUCAGUGGUAGAGCAAAGGACUCAUAAGCCUUGGGUCGGCGGUUCAAUCCCGCCCCCCGCUACCA